rnacentral:tRNA from 2 species
CGGUAGCUCAGUCGGUAGAGCAAGGGACUGAAAAUCCCUGUGUCGGCGGUUCGAUUCCGCCCUG